GUCCGCAUGAUUUUUCCUUUGUCUAUAAAUAUGCUUCUGAACAACCUUCUGCUUAUCUUUUGUUUAAUGUUUUCAAUUAGUCCUAUUUAAGCUGGAGCAUGAACCUGAUAUCUUUAUAUUACGUGUAUGUCUAAAGUUGCUGAUGUAUAGUGUAAACUACAGCAUUUGAGAUAAAUGCCUCAGACAGUAUGGCUGAAUUGUAGACUGAUUUUUUCCUCAUUGAAUAUGUUGAAUUUGCAUUUGAUAAGUUUAAUUGCUGUCAUUUUUCCUGUCGUAUUGAUCACUAAAUUUGCCUUUCUUGUAGUUCUGGUAAGUGUCAAAUAAUU
rnacentral:misc_RNA from 1 species